UUAGCUGGAAGGCUUCGAGGCCCGGAGAGAGGCAGGCAAGGGCCUGAGGUGCGGUAGGCGCGGAGGGGUGGAAGAGCAGACCGGAUGGGGUAAAGGCAGAGCCAGGGCAGGCGCUGACUGUGAGUGGCGCCUAUGAUGGGUAUGCCCAGCUCAGCCUCCUCACACCCUCCCCGGAACAAUGAGAUCGGAGAAAGGGUUCUCUGCCCUCCCUUGCGGUGAACUGUGUCCUUCCCUCACUGGAGAAACUGAGACACAGAGGAGGAAGGACCUUGUUCCGGGAGCACUGAAGGCAGACAGGAGCCCCCAAGACUUGGAAUUAGGAGAAGAUGUUGAUCUCCUUCGUGGGCAGAUCCCUGAGGAGGUCAAAGGUGAAGAGAAAGACUCAGGCCUCAUGCCCAGGAAUUGCUGCAGCAAGGGGUGGCUGUUCCUGCUGUCCUUCCUGAAAACGGCGCCUGUCUGAAAACCUGGAGGUCACAACAGAGCAAAGAAUCAGAGUCAACAAUAUCUUGUGCCAGAGAGCAAAUGAACUCUUCCUCUUGGCCAGAAAUCCCUCUCACAUCCUCCCCGCUACCCCAAACCUUGGCCUUGCCUGAUUAUCACAUUCAAGUGCCAGGCAGGCCAACAUUCCCAGGGCCAAGGCUCAGGGAGAAUGCAGCAGUGCCCAGUGCUGUAGUCUGACCUGCUGGAUUCUUCAUGGAGAUAAUAUGGGGACCAUGAGUCACACAGUCAAAUCCCCAGGGACCCAACUGCCUUAUGUCCAACCAUGAAAUAGUAUCUUCUUGUCAUUCUUUUCAUCCAGAGUUCUAAGAGUCUGGGUUCUCCCGGACAGACCCUGCUAGAGAUAAGCCCACAAAGGCUUAGUUUCUUCCUAUGGCCUGUAUCCAGGAAAUUUACUCUCAUACUAGGGAAGAGUCCAAAGAGAAACCAGGAAACAAAAUUGCUUGACUUGGGCAUGUGUGUGUGUGUGUGUGUGUGUACAUGUGUGUGUGCACGCAUAUCUGCAAAUGUGUGCACAUUUUCAGCUAUACCACGUCUGUCACAGGACACCCAGAUAAUAGAGCAUUUGUUUUAGAUGAUGUCUGUUGACAAACCCAAACCUGAUAUUAAAUCACAUCUCUCUGCUCCAUUGGAAUGAAAUGAGGCAUGGAGCCGGUGUUGGGUGUCAGCUCACAGGCUGUGUGAGGGAACAAAAAGAAACCAUUAUUUGAUAGCAGACAUAACCCCAAAAUUUCUGCAGGCAGCCAAAGUGCUUCCUGGCCCAUAGAAAUGAUCUGAAAAAAGCCUGGCAAAAAGGUGGGUUAGGGCCUGAGACUGGCACCCUAAAAGGUGGCCCAUUGACCACUCUGGGGAGAUAGACACAGUCAGUCUCUUUGUAAGGCAGGACAGUGAAAUCAAAGUUAAUGAUUUCCUGACAAGGGGCAAGACAGAGGAUGACUAGAGCAUUGGAGAGCCAUUUCUUGACAUCCGGAGUGACUUAGAGGAAAGACUCCCUGGUCUGGGAACUUUAGACUAAAGAACAAACUAUGUGAACCAAAAAUGCAUGUGUGUUUGUGUAUGUGUGUGUGUGUGUGUGUAUGUGUGUGUGUAUUUAUACACACAAUAUAUAAAAAUUAUCCCUGGAAGGAGAUACAAAGAAAUAGAAACAAUGAUUGUUUCUGAGGAAGGGAAGAAAGCAGGGUGGGGGAACUUAAUCCCACUGAACAUUCCCUAUAUUAUGUGCAAUUUUACCAUGGGCACAAAUUAACUAACAAAAUGAAAAAAUAAAUAAAUAAAAAAAAUAAAAAAUAAAAAAAAACCCAGUGAUCUCUUGAGAGAACCAGGGAAGGAAUGCUGUUAUAAGCUCUGGGUGGCAUAACCUCUAGCAACAUUAGGCAUCUGAUACACAUCUAUUGAGUGGAUGGAAGAAAGAACAAAUGGGUAAAUAUAGAGGUUUCGGUGUGGGGACAAUAAAGAUAACAAUUCCAGGGGCUAGGAGUGGAGCACAUGCUUAGGGAAUAUGAAGGGAUUAGGUAGGAAAGGAAUAGAAAGAGAAAGGGAAGAGAAUGAAAGGACAAAAAGAAGAAAGGGAAAUAUACUUCCAGGAGAAGCUGUGAGAGACUCAAGGGAGCCAGGAAGGCGCCCCAGAAACAAAUGCUGAAGCACUUCCCCCUCAAUCAGUCCAUGGCCCCAGGAUGAGGAAUAGAAGCCUAGAUGUGGCCUGUUUUUCUUCUGGGAAUGUUGCCAACUUCUAAGGG